ACAGCUAUUGGGUAGAAAAAGCGUCAAUUAUUUCAGCUGGACAGCCCCUUCUGUGCAGAAAACUUCCUUUUUUCCAUAUAGGGCGAACCUACUGUUACAAUUGUUCUAAUCGCAGAAUUGCUUUUGUAUCACUCACUCUGCUACGUAAUCAUUCAUUUUCCUUCGCUAGAUAGGUAACAUUCCUCCUCCUCUGUUCUCGAAAGGGCUAUUACGUUGAGAAUCUGCGCUGGGGAAUAUCAACAGACAAAACGCCCUAAAGCGGUCUCAAGUAAAUUCGGAGAAACAGUUGUGCCAAACCGGACGAGUAGCUCAAGACUCAAAAACAGCUUAUGUCUGACAAGUUUUUCGCCAGAGUUUACAUUUCAUUAUAAAGAAGGACUCAGGGAUAAAUGUAGUUUUAUACUUAAACAAGUAAAAAUAAUUUAAAAAUUCCUUUCGCAUCCGGUGAACCCAUAAGGAAUUCUCUGUGAUGGACUGGCAACACGUCUGGGGCGUAAAUCUUACGCCUGUUGCUUGCUGGGAUAGGACCUGACUCCCGCGCAACCCUGUACUGGAUGGAAGUGGUUUGAAAAUAGGAGGAUGGGUCAGGAAUUCCUGUGAGAGUAAAUACUUCAUGAAAUAUCCUUCUGCAGACAGCUAUUAGACCUCUGAGAAUUCUGUAUUUUAUCAACCCACAAAAAUACUCUUUGUAAUGAGAUCUUGAAUGUUGCUGCUCUUGUUGCACCCAAAUAAAAGGAAACAUGAUACAAUGGUUAUAUCCACAAGGUUCAGCUAUGAGUUAUUACAAACAAUUGUUUUAUUAAACGAAACACGUACAAGGAAAUGGCCGAUAGUGGAUGUGUUGCCAUCUGGUAGAUCCAGAAUUCCUCUGCUGCUGGAAAAAGUCACAGCAGCAUGAAGCUCUGCAGUAAGAAUUAUGUUGUGUUAGUCAAUGGAAAAGACUUUGAAUCGGCUAAAAGGAGACAAAAUAGUUGGAAAGGUGGAACACAAGCCAGACCAAAUGGGAAAAACAAGUCUGCAUCACAAAAUAAAAAUAAGUGUUAUCACCAUUGCAAAACAUAAUUUCCCACUGGUCUAGUAGAAUGGCUUGUCAACUUUCUUGCAAACUGAUUUUUCCAAAUUAGUUUUAUAUGUUCAGUUUCCUACCUGUAAUUUUACAAAAAACAAGGUUUGUUGCACCUUGUUUCUUUGGUGCUUUUUAAGAUGUUUAAUUCACUUUAAACUAUUUGGGAACAAAGUUUGCACUGUAACAUACAGUAUAAUUUGAAAAUUGUAUCUGUGUUAUCAAGUAUUCUGCUUACAUAAAAUUUAGUUAUGUUUAUUUUUCUUCUUCUCUUCUUUUCUUUUUUUCAGCAUGGAAUAAACCUAUUACUUGUUCCUAAAAUUUAGUUAUUCUAUUAAAGUGUUUAGGCUGUAGGGUUUUAUCAUAGUUUAAGCACUUAAACCCUCUUUAACUGUGUAUGUAUCUAGUUAUGUAACUGGGUACGCAUUUUACCAUUACAACAUGGUAUACAGUGAAUGAUUUCUUGUAUUUUCAUCAAUGUGUUACAUAUACUUUUACAUACACACACUAUUUUACUGGUGCUUUACUCUCUCAGAAUAUCAGACAAGAUGCAGCUUCACUAAGUAAAGGUUUAUUUAUACUGUCUUAUAUUGUUGAUGUCCUUUUUGGGUUAUUCUUUAUGAUUUGUUUCUGCUUCUACUACAAUGUUCACUAAC